rnacentral:lncRNA from 1 species
UAUCUGGAAGAUGAGGGAUGGAGUGCUCCCCAUGGCAAUGGGUGGGUAGAUAAAAUUACUGAUUUUCUCCCAUUAUUUCUCCUUCACCUUAAAAAUAUAUAUAUAAUAAUUUUAUUUGUACAUCCCCCCCCAUCUGACUGGGUUGCCCCAACCACACUGGUGCUUAUUUUGCUAUAAGAAGGGGAAAGUAAUGGAUGGAAAUGAGUACAUAAUGUUUCAUCCCUGUGUGAGCAGAACCUGACAAAGGGAAAUACAUGACUGAACAGGAAGAAAUUAGAGAGCAAGAAUUUAUAAGGAAGAAGCCUUUAAUUAACAUUGGAAAGGGUCCCUUGCUGGAGUUAUUUGAGAGUAAAACAAAUAGAAGAAUCUUGGCCGUUUUAGAUAAUGUGUUAAAUACUGUGUAGAACCUCUGGGAUGUAUUUAAAUGAAUAAUUGCACUAGCAGAAAAAAGUGCAACAGAUUCUUCUAAAGCAAAGGAACCCCCCCAUUUCCCAUGCCCCACCGCACCCUCCUAAAAUCAGCUCUGGAAGGUCAGGAGAACCCCAAAACAGUGCUUGAGGAGAGGAAGAAGAGGGAUUGUUCUGCUGGGCAAAUGUAUGAUCUCCUUCAUACAACCGCCUAUUUUUAAUUCCACCUCCAGCUCACUGAAGUAAUGUAAAUGCCUCUGCAAUGCUAAAGGACAGUGUUGCGGAAGCAACAAUCCUUUCCUUGCUGUUCAAAAUCUGAAAUAAUUAAGAUUCAUCAGGAUAAUUGGACCACAACUGAGACAGUUGUGGCAGAUGCAGGGCUUCCCUGGAAAACAGGAGUCCAACAUCUUGUUCCCUCUUCCCCUGGUAAUAAUCUAGAUUCACAAAGUAUGUGGUGCACCCUAAUCUUGCUUUGGAGUUUUCCUACCCCCACCAAUGAAGUUGCAGAAGGAGUCAGGGCAACUCAGAGCAUGAGUGUCAGAGGAGAGCAGCUAAUUUGUUUUGUAUCAUUGAACAUCGUGAAAGCUGUUGAGAACUGAUUCAUAACCUCACCUACCCUAUCCUGGAGGAUGCUUUGGGCCAUGAUUGUAGAGAGUAACACUGGGAUGCAACAGAACCCCAGGAACAGGGUUCUAAGCAUUGCAUUUCUGUCCUAUGUCAGUGUUGUCUUGAAUAACAACAGGUUUCUACCACUGCCACCACCCUGAUUAUUAUUUUUUAAAUAAUUGAAGAGAAAUGUGGAAACGAACAGUAUUAAGUGCAGCUCUGGUAGAUUCUGAGUUAUGGGACAGGCCUUGUUUUGAAGGCAGGUCCUCCUAAUGUGGUGGGUUAGACAGCAGCUUAAAGCACCAGUGUUGGAACAUGGAUUAGGAUUGACCCUUCAGAUCUUGGAGCACCAUCCUAGCUUGUUCUUGGUUUGUCCUCUGCCACUAACUUCCAUGCAGCUACCUUCCCUGCUCAGCCUUGGGUGAGUCAUGGAACUGUGGUAGGCAAUGGGUAGUGUCUUUCAUUUUUGUAUUUCAUGGGCCUUCAGCUGCCCAAAGAUCUUGACUCAGAGCCUCAACUUGGGUAGCUGUUGUGUCUUCUCCCCUCUCUAAUAUUGUGGAGCCAUCUCAGAACAGCCUCCUCCCUUUUGUUGAUUACCUCCCCGAUACAAGUUGUCACAAUGAGCUCAGAUAGUUGUCGUGGAAGUUUCCUUUCUCAUUGGCCCAGGCUGCAAAUCUCCCGACUUGUUAGCAUAAUAACAGAAGUAUUUCAAGUAGAAAUAAUGCACAAAUGAUUAGGUAAUGAGGAGACGGUGAUGGCGGAAAUCACUACUUAGAAAUUGUUAAAUGAUAAUACAUUCCCCCCAAACCCAGAUCAGACAGGCCAAGAAGAAUUUAAUUUUCUGCCCACUUAAAUGUACAGAGAAAUGUCUUCUUUUCGGAGUGCUAUUUCAUUGGCCAUCUAAUUGACUAGUAAAUAGAAACUUUAGCUUUCCUUUUCCUACGCAGCUUGCAAUUUCUUCCCUGAUUUCUGCAUAAGUGUGCUUUGUGAGGCUUCGUUGAUGUGAUUCUGAACCCCGUAGUGUGUGGCAUGCAUACGGUAGCCAGCUAUGAUGCGUUACGAAUACUUGGAAGAAGAAGAACAUCAGCUUCAAGGCCUGUUAACCAAUUCGUGCAUUGUUUCAUCUUGUUUUAAAAUCCCUCUGUGUAGGAAUUGCUAAAACUACUGUAAAUUCCUUUCCAGAUUGUGAACAAUAUAUGCAUUACAUUAUCGCAAUAAGUCCCAAGCUCUGGGCUAGGGCACACAUGCAAGAGAACUUCUAGUGUGCCAGAAGAAAUAAAAGACUCCUGUGAUCCCAAAGUGCCUAGAAGAGACUGCCGCCCACAUCUCUGCAUGAUUUACUGGGACUGCCUCUUUCCGAUCAGCCUCAACUCAGGGUGAUUGGAUCAUAUAAUCCCUCCCCAUGAUGAGACAUAGUAGAGUUACCUGCUUUCAGAAGAGGCAUUCCUAGAACAGUGACUCGUGCAGUUCUAAGGGCGCUUCCAGACAACCCGUUUCUUGUGCAUUCAUCCUCAUUGGUUUUGCAGGAGCCAGUGUGGUGUAGUGUGGGAGCCAGUGUGGUGUAGUGGCUAAGAGCGGUGGACUUGUAAUCUGGUGAACCGGGUUCGCUUCCCCGCUCCUCCACACGCAGUUGCUGGGUGACCUUGGGCUAGUCACGCUUCUCUGAAGUCUCUCAGCCCCACUCACCUCACAGAGUGUUUGUUGUGGGGGAGGAAGGGAAAGGAGAAUGUUAGCCGCUUUGAGACUCCUUCGGGUAGUAAUAAAGUGGGAUAUCAAACCCAAACUCUUCUUCUUCUUCUUGCAGGGAGAUUAGAUGACACUGGCUAUUCUCAGAAUCACAGACUUGAAGGGACCACAAGGGUCAUCUGGUCCAAGCAUCUGCCAUUCAGGAAUCUUUGGCCCAAUGCGGGGCUCAAACCCAAAAUCCUGAGAUUAAGUGCCUUGUGCUUUACCGACUGAGCAAUGAGCAUUCAUUCUGAUUUGCUUGUGGAGAGGUUAGGCAACAUUUGCAUCAGCAACAUUGCAUCAUUUUCCUUACCACAAAAAGUCGGAUCUUUGGGGGGAAGCAGGUUUGCUGCACAAGAUCUCCUAAUCAAUUACAAUGGUGCAAGCUGAAUUUGCAGGCGUGUGAUUGAAUCCCACCCCCAAAACAGUGACGGCCUGGAAGCGCCCUAAGUUCUCACGGAAUAGCUCUCGCUGUUUUUCUACAUUCCCGCUAAUAUGCACUCAACCACAUGAGUUGGAAGCAAAGUAUAAGAACAUAAGAGAAUCAGGCCACAUCUAGUCCAGCAAUCUCUUUUCACAGUGGCUAACUGGAUGCCUAUGGGAAGCCCAAUAGGAUAAGGCUACCAGACAUCCCCGUUUCCCGGGGAGAGUCCCCGGAUUUACAAAUCAGUCCCCAUACAAAAUCCAUUGAAGUUGAAAAGUGUCCCCGUAUUCAUUGAAAAAAAAUCUGGUAACCUUACAAUAGGAGGACCUGAGUGCAACAGUACUCUGUUUACUUAUGGUUCCCAGUGACUUGUAUUUAGUGGUAUUCAGCCUGCAACGAUGGAGGGAGAACAUGGCCAUUAUGGUUUGUAUCUUGGAGGCAAGACAACUAGGUUUAAAGGGGUGAUGCCUUUCACAUCUCCAUAAAUGUGUGUCCUCCCUGUUACAUAGGUAUAAAACACUCAGAAUUUAGGACUGUAAAUGCCAUAGAGCACUGCAGGGGAAGCCGGGGCCAGAGAAGUGAAUUAUGACUUUUAUUCUCUCUGGUCAGCACAAUUGUGCUCUAAUUCCAGGUUUGGUUGGAGCUAUGAACAGGAGUGGGCCUCCUAGGGAGUGGGAAUACACUGCAAAGUUUGAAUCCCCGCGACGGGGUGAGCUCCCGUUGCUCGGUCCCUGCUCCUGCCAACCUAGCAGUUCGAAAGCAUGUCAAAGUGCAAGUAGAUAAAUAGGUACCACUCUGGUGGGAAGGUAAACAGCGUUUUCAUGCGCUGCUCUGGUUUGCCAGAAGCGGCUUAGUCAUGCUGGCCCCAUGACCCGGAAGCUGUACGCCGGCUCCCUCAGACAAUAAAGCGAGAUGAGCACCUCAACCCCAGAGUUGGCCACGACUGGACCUAAUGGUCAGGGGUCCCUUUACCUUUAUGAACAGGAGCAGGCCUCCUAGGGAGUGGGAAUACAUUGCAAAGUUUUGUUGUACAUCACACUAUACGUUUAAUGCACAUUCAAAGCACACAUUCUUUCCCUCAGAGAAUUCUGGGCGCUGUAGUUUACCCCUCACAGAUUUACAAUUCCCAGCAGCCCUGAACAAACUAAAGUGCCCAUAAUUCUUUGAGGGGGGAAAUGUAUUUCGAAGGUGCUUUAUAAGUGUGCACGCAGCCUUAUUCUCUCUAAAAGUGAACCCUUUCGGAGUGAAGAUGUUUCUCCCAUUUUCAGCCAGGAAAAGGUGUGCCUUGGGUAUUUACACGUUUCAGCAACAUUGCUUAUUAAGAACAGUUGCAUUGGUAGACAUUUGUAUUUUUUUGAAUAUGGAGUUAUGGGGGAAAUGGUUUAAGAAUGUGAUGCUUGCCUUGCAGGAUCAAAUCAAUUGCAUUGCCUCUGAAUAUGGAAGUUGAUAGACUUCUCCUCUUGGCAUUUUUCUAAUCCUUUAAAAAAGUCAGGCUAAUGACCAUUAUCACAUCUUAUGGUAUUGAAUUUCAAAGGUGAACUGCACUGUCACACAGAAGUGUUUGUUUGUGUUAAACAUCCAGAAGGACGGGUUGGGUUCCCCAAAUGGAAAUGGUAGGCCUUUGGUUUUAGAAUGAGGCUUGUGUGUGUCAAUUGUGGUGCGCUAGGAUAUUCUUUCCCCUCAAAUGGUGAUCACCUCCAGAAGACUGUGAAUUUUACCUCUGGUGGAUAGAAGUGGCACCUUCUAAUAGGGAUCACCAGAAUCCAUUCCUAACCCACCUAAGCUUGAAUUCUCAAGAAAGAUUGCUUUUCAAAUUGGGCAAACAAUAUUGGUCUACUUUGAAUGAUUGUAUCUUGGGUAAGAAAUCUGACUUAUGGGUGUGCAUUUUGCCCAUGUGUGUAGCUCUCAGACUAGAAAGCGCCCAAUUUCCCCAUGUUUAGGAACUUUGGAACAAAGCAAGAUUUCAAAUGACUGUUUCCUACUCCUUGUUAAUUAGAGACUUCUUGUUUAAUUGCCAUUCAUGUCAAGGGAGGAGAAAGGCCUUAUGUAUGUGGCUAAAAUACUUGUUUAUAUCUCGGCUUUUAAUGAGUGGCGAUUGUCCAAAGCAGGCCACUGUGUUCUAUUGUAGGGGAGCAUAACUUUGGUAUUUUUAUGGGGGUUGAGUUUAAAGGUGUGGGGCCAAAGAACUGGUAGACCUUGAAGCUGUGGGGAGCUGCCAAUUCAAAAGUUCGAUGUUUGCUAUGUGUACUCAUUGUUGACUGCGAGCUGUCAAAUUGUUCCAUGAAAAUGGUGGAUUGUGUGUUGCCUUGCUUGGAAGGCAAUAAUUUGGAUGGAAGGGGUGGGCUAUGGAUAUUUGAGCAAAUGCUGAAAUAUAGAGUUGCUUCCACCCUGCAUUGUUUUUAGUUUUAAAACUGAAGCAUUUCCUGAGGUUCUUUCAUCACUGGAUCUCAUUUGUGUGUCAGUUCCAAUGCACAGUACCAGUUCCCACAAUUUUCCUCAGCAUGAUUCUCAAUAAGCAUAAUAAGAACGUGUAGUGUAUUGCCACUUAGAGCAAACAUUUGAAGCAGAGGCUCAUACCUUUGACUUGUCAGCCGAGCCAUUAUUUCUGCUGUGAACUCUCGCAGAUUCCUAAUAUUACCAAAUGAGCCCUAUAUAUCCUUGUCUGGCAAGAGAUGUCAAGAAGGGUGAAUAUGAUUUCUUGAGAUGUUAUCAUUAUUUUAAGGCAAAAAGCUUCCAAGAAGGUGAUAGCAGAGCAACAGUGAGAACCUAUUCUCUUCGGGGUGGAGGAAAAAGUCAAACACGAGACUGAAGCCUGACUGACGGGAUUUCUGGGGCAAUGAAAAUUGUGAAGCUUUCGUUUGUGCAUGUAUCUACAUUAUUACCAUGUCGAGCACUGCCACAUUGAAAAGAAAAUAUGUUGGGUGCGGGGAGAUGCAAUGCCGCUUUCAGCAAAUAUUUAUUUCGGGAGUAAUGGGUUAGUAGUCUUAAAAAGAAGAAUCAGUGGCAGGGCUGGAUCAUAGUUUUGACAGUUAUAACCGAAAGGCUUUCAUCAGUAAUGUCUGCCAUAAACUUCCUGCAUGGCAAAGGUCCUGUAAACAUCCCUCUUGUGUAGGUGGUCCUCCUAUCCAUGCCAAAUAAAGAGAUGUCAUAAUAACAUUUGUCUCUGCCUUGCUUUUCAUUUGCAGCUGCUGUCUAUUCUAUAACACAAUGACUACAAUAACAUUAACAAUUGAUUUGGGGUAGGAUCAGGGGCAGGUGUUUCCUGGGUCAGGGUGGUGAUGGAGAGAGCUAACAGCCCUAGGAACUAACAAAAUGCCUUAUCCAUUCACAAAUCUCAGCAUUGUUCUGGUUUCUAAGAAUUCCCAAGCACCACUGGAAACUUUCCUUUACUUGGAUCAUAUAAUGCUUUUCAAAGUGUGUGCUAAUCUAUUAUGGAACGCUGGUCUUCACAGCCUUGGAAUUCAUUCUGCGCUGUUACUUUUUUGUGAUAUACCACACUGGGACCGUUGUAUAUUAUGUAGCU